UGGGGAAUAUUGGACAAUGGGCGAAAGCCUGAUCCAGCAAUGCCGCGUGUGUGAAGAAGGCCUUCGGGUUGUAAAGCACUUUCAGUGGGAAAGAAAAGCUAAGUGCUAAUAUCACUUAGCCUUGACGUUACCCAAAGAAGAAGCACCGGCUAACUCCGUGCCAGCAGCCGCGGUAAUACGAAGGGGGCUAGCGUUGUUCGGAAUUACUGGGCGUAAAGGGCGCGUAGGCGGCUCACCAAGUCAGGCGUGAAAGCCCCGGGCUUAACCUGGGAACUGCGUUUGAGACUGUUGAGCUAGAGUUCAGGAGAGGCGGGUGGAAUUCCCAGUGUAGAGGUGAAAUGCGUAGAGAUCUGAAGGAACACCAGUGGCGAAGGCGACUUACUGGCUUAAAACUGACGCUGAGGUACGAAAGCGUGGGUAGCAAACAGG
rnacentral:rRNA from 1 species